rnacentral:rRNA from 1 species
GGCUGAAACUCGCCUACAUGAAGCUGGAAUUGCUAGUAAUCACAGGUCAGCAUACUGUGGUGAAUACGUUCCCGGGCCUUGUACACACCGCCCGUCACACCAUGAGAGUUGAGAAUAUCCGAAGCCCAUGUCAAAGUGGUCGAAGGUAGGCUUGAUGAUUGGGGUGAAGUCGUAACAAGGUACC